ensembl:lncRNA
UGCUGGUCAUAUGAAUCCACGUGGGAUAAGAUGACACAGAGCCAUGAGCACACAGCACACCAGUGUCAGCAGCCUCUUGGUUUGGCCAUUGUCCUGUAAUUAGCCAAGGCUCUAAGCAGCAGUGAGCCUGAAGGAAAAUCCAGAAACACGCAGGCCUUGUUCAGAGCUCUCCGUGUGCUCUCCCCACAGCAGUCAGCUGUAACUCCAACACGAUCUAAGCAGGUGGGCAAGGUCUCCCAGCGGAUCCAGGUCCUGGAGGCCGCGGGCUCGCGGAUUCCGCCUACUGCGCCUCGACGGGGCAGGCACUCAAGGCGAGGACUUGCGGAAGGCACACUCACGCGCGCACACACAACACCUGAGACGCACGGAGUAGAGAGAGUUCCACCUGCAGAGGGCUGGCGGCAGGGACACGAACCGCUCCUGUGCACCCUGGAGACCGGGAGCGGGGCUUGGGGACCCGUACGGCCUUCGCUGUGCUGCGGUCAUUGUGCAAAGCAGCUAGAUCUGCGAGCAACGUGGGCUCCCCGACGCAGGAGUGCACAAACUCAAGUGCGGGCGAGGAGGCGCGAGAAGACGCGGGCCACUGCUCUAGGUAACGCCGGGCCCAGAACGGGACAUAGUGUCUCAGAAGCUGGACUCGGGCAGCGGGGCCCACACCCGGACCCGGGGGUGCCACGCCCGCAGCCCCGCUCAGGGUUCGCGGGAGGGCGAGCGGGGUCCCUAGGCUGAGGCUCCGGGUCUGGCAAGCCCGGUCGCAGUCUCCGCCCCGCCAUCGCCGCUCGGCGCCCCAGUUGUUUAGGACCCCGCGGCGCAGGGGCGGGGCGGCAGGCGGCCGGGACGGUGACAGGUGCGCUCCUCGGCCAAUGGCGGGGCCCGCGCCCCUCCCCG